AAUAGGAAAUUUAAGGGCGUACGGUGGAUGCCUUGACUCCAAGAAGGUGAUGAAGGACGUGGCUUGGCGGCGAUACGCUUCGGGGAGGUGCCUAGCAACCUUUGAUCCGAAGAUGUCCGAAUGGGGAAACCCGUC
rnacentral:rRNA from 1 species